GCCAACUGCAAUGUCAGGAGGAAGCAUGGGGGUGCCACAUCCUUUUCAGAAGCAGGUAUUUCACAUAACAAGAGUGGAGAUGGGGGUAGAAGGCGCCUCACUCUUUUAAACAAUUACAUCUCACAUGAGCUCAGAGUGAGAACUCACUCACUGUCAUGAGGAUGGCACCAACAUGUUCAUGAGGGACCCACCCCCAUAAUCCAAACACCACCCACCAGGCCCACCUCGCCACUGGGGACUACACUUCCAGAGACUUCUGAAAUCCCACCAGGCCCACCUCUACCACCGGGGAUUACACUUCCGGAGAUUUCUGAAAUGCCUUUGAGGCCUUUUCCCCAUGAGAUUUAGAAGAGACAGACAUCUAAACCGUAUCAUUCCACCCUGGGCUUCCCGAAUCUCAUGUCCUUCUCACAUUGCAAAGUAAGAUCGUCCCUUCUCAGUAGCUCUGCAAAGUCUUAACUCGUCCCAGCAUCAACACAACCAAAAGCCUCCAGUCCCAGGUUCAGUCUCAUCUG
rnacentral:lncRNA from 1 species